AUGACAAAGAAGAAUAAAACAUAUUAUCUGCUGGAUGGGGAGGAAGAGCCUACGAGGCCUAUACAUGGCAACUAUAUUGGCAAGGUGAUGUUCCUAACGGCCGUUGCUAGGCCAAGGUGGGACAGUGAAGGAAACGUGACCUUCUCUGGGAAAAUCGGUAUCUGGCCAUUCGUGAAGGAAGUUCCUGCUCAAAGGAGAAGCGACAACAGGCCCAAAUGUACGAUAGAGAUAAAAUCAAUAAAGGUCGACAGAAGAGUGAUGAGGGAGUUCCUAAUAGAGAAGGUCUUGCCAGCGAUACAAGCUAUUUGGACCGAAAGUGAUGCUGGAUAG
rnacentral:rRNA from 1 species